CUCUUUCUUCUUCAGUAAAACAUUCUUCCUCUCAUACUCAAAUCAAUUAUACAUUGCAAUGCUUUUUUACACAUCUUUGAUUCUACUUUGUCUAUAGUUUCAACUCUCAAUUUUGGUGAAUUUUUUCCUUCGUUUAAUUUUGAUAAUUGUAAUUUAUUUCAGAAUCUCAUGUGACCUUCAUCAGAUUCCUCUCAUCUGUUGAAGAGGAAAACAAAGGUGGAAAGUUUAAGCUUGGAAGGAAGAUUGACAGUGGUUCUUUGGUGAGCUUUGUUUAGAUUCUUUGAGGUGGUAGCAAGAGUAAUUUGAGCUUUGUUAUCGGAUUUUUAGCUAGCCAUUUCAUUAUUUAUAAGGUUCCGGCUAGGUGACAUACACUCUCUUUCUUGAAGAAGACUUGGAUUGCUUAUCUCCAAGUUGUGGUGAGUCCUCAAAUUCGAGGAUGGAUUUCCAUUUCUUAGUUCCUAUUGUACUUCUCUUAUAUUGAGACUUUUAUUGAUGUAAAGGGCUAAGUCCCAAAUUUUGUGUUCCU